CUGUCUAAUAAGCUGUUGCUCUCAGCUGUUCAGUCACGUCGUGAUUCUGGCGUAUGGGGAUUCUCCAUCUUUCGUGUUUUCAUCCUCUUUCCCCCUACGAAAUCCUCGUUGCCUCUGCCUUUCUUCUUGUCUCCUCUAUACCUUCCCUUUCUACUUGUGUUUCUUUCUUCUGCCCCGUCCCUUUUUACCCUUACGUGGCGCGCCACAGUGGUUUCUCCUUCCGUUCUUCUUUCCCUGCGGCCUUCUCGCUCUGAAGCUGGGGCUGCUUCCUUCUUCGCUGUCGCGACCUACACACUCGACCUCUCCGAAUUUUCCUUACGGCUCACUGCCCUCUUUUCCCCUCGCUUUUGCCUGGCCUCAGCACGGCGCCGCCAACAUGGCGCUACUGGGCCUUGUUGCGUCAGCUUGACACAAAAAAUUUGGGUUUCAUUUUCCUGUUCGCACGAUGAAAACUCGACAACACCCGGUUGGUCAAGGUGACUACAGCGAACCGAUGAAGCGUU
rnacentral:lncRNA from 1 species